rnacentral:rRNA from 1 species
GACGAACGCUGGCGGCGUGCUUAACACAUGCAAGUCGAACGGAAAGGCCCUGCUUUUGUGGGGUGCUCGAGUGGCGAACGGGUGAGUAACACGUGAGUAACCUGCCCUUGACUUUGGGAUGACUUCAGGAAACUGGGGCUAAUACCGGAUAGGAGCUCCUGCUGCAUGGUGGGGGUUGGAAAGUUUCGGCGGUUGGGGAUGGACUCGCGGCUUAUCAGCUUGUUGGUGGGGUAGUGGCUUACCAAGGCUUUGACGGGUAGCCGGCCUGGGAGGGUGACCGGCCACAUUGGGACUGAGAUACGGCCCAGACUCCUACGGGAGGCAGCAGUGGGGAAUAUUGCACAAUGGGCGGAAGCCUGAUGCAGCAACGCCGCGUGCGGGAUGACGGCCUUCGGGUUGUAAACCGCUUUCGCCUGUGACGAAGCGUGAGUGACGGUAAUGGGUAAAGAAGCACCGGCUAACUACGUG